rnacentral:rRNA from 1 species
CAGUCGCCGCGGUAAUACCGAGGGUGCGAGCGUUAAUCGGAUUUACUGGGCGUAAAGCGUGCGUAGGCGGCUUUUUAAGUCGGAUGUGAAAUCCCUGAGCUUAACUUAGGAAUUGCAUUCGAUACUGGGAAGCUAGAGUAUGGGAGAGGAUGGUAGAAUUCCAGGUGUAGCGGUGAAAUGCGUAGAGAUCUGGAGGAAUACCGAUGGCGAAGGCAGCCAUCUGGCCUAAUACUGACGCUGAGGUACGAAAGCAUGGGGAGCAAACAGGAUUAGAUACCCGCGUAGUCCCUGUCUCUUAUAA